rnacentral:ncRNA from 1 species
CUCGCAAAAGUACUCGUGUGUUGCUCCAAAUCAAAUUAAUUUGAAUAAUCCAAACUACAAUAGGUUUUGAAAAUAAAUUGCGCAUUGAGUCAGGAAUAGACAUAGAUGUCGAGUAGCUGUGUGCUGCUGAGAGAAGCUUAGAUCACCGAUGUUCGUCUCGGCCGUUUCUAUAGUGACCUCUUCUCCUAUUGCGAUGACUUCUUGUCCGAGUCUAAGGAUUUGAUACUGGAGGAAGGUGGGGAUGACGUCAAGUCCGCAUGGCCCUUAUGGGCUGGGCCACACACGUGCUACAAUGGCAAUGACAAUGGGAAGCAAGGCUGUAAGGCGGAGCGAAUCCGAAAAGAUUGCCUCAGUUCGGAUUGUUCUUUGCAACUCGGGAACAUGAAGUUGAAAUCGCUAGUAAUCGCGGAUUAGCAUGCCGCGGUGAAUAUGUACCCAGG